rnacentral:rRNA from 1 species
GAUUUCUGGUCUGGAGCGCCUGGCCCGCCACGUUAGUGUGUGAGUGCCGGGUCGCCCCUGCCAUCCUUCUAGAGAACAUAUCUACCCUUCACUGGGCCGGAUAUGCCAUCUAGAUGUUUUACUUUGAAAAAAUUAGAGUGUUUAAAGCAGGCAUUAUUGCUAUGAAUACAUUAGCAUGGAAUAAUAAUUUAGGACUUCGGUUCUAUUUUGUUGGUUUCUAGGACUGAAGUAAUGAUUGAUAGGGAUAGUUGGGGGUGCUAGUAUUCAGUGGCCAGAGGUGAAAUUCUCGGAUUCACUGAAGACUAACUUAUGCGAAAGCAUU